rnacentral:lncRNA from 1 species
GUCAGAGGCUCGCAGAUCUCCACAGAGAUCAGCAGCGAGAUGGCAAAUAUGUUAUAGAAAAUUGAGCACAUACCACCGCAAAGCCAUCGAAGAGCGGGAGGAAGAAGGGAAGAAGGAGGAAGGAAAACCGCCGAAACAUUUGCUCACUUUGAUUUGUUUAUUUCGAUGCCACACGAAUCCGAUGCAUCGGAUCUGCCCAUGCCAAUGGCACACACAAACAACACACAGCACACAGCAUUGAGCUCCCUGGGCAGCAGUUUUGUUGCCUUGAAUUGGGCUGUGUGUUGUGUUGUGCCUUUUCUUGGCCACAGCUUGACCUUUCACUCGAAUCCGAAUCGGAAUCCGAAUCCGAAUCCGACUGCGGCGACUCCCAGCUUCGAUUUGCCGGAAGCGCUUCACCCAAAAUAUAUCACCAAGCGAAUAUCUACAAAACGAUGAUUGGAGGGAAUACAGCUCCAGCAUCAGCUCCACACAACAAUGAGAGGGCACAGCCACACGGCCACACUGCCACAUGGACUCUGCGACUCUACGACUGGACAGCCUACAACCUACGACGAGUAUUUGGAAAAUUUUCCAAACAAUAUCUGUAAAAAUAAAAACGCCCAAUGCCGCCGACGCUGCUGAGGUUACUUACAUAUAAAAAUGCCCCAUUGUUGUCGAAGUCUUCUGCAAAUGUAAUGCAGUUUGAAGUCAGAGCCAGAGUCCGAUAUGUGCCUCCAGGGCAUUAUUUCCUUCACUGCCAGCAUCCACGCUGGAGCCCUCUUAGGAAGCCAAAGUUUGUUGGGGGAUCGGCAACUUCGAACUUGGAGUGCAGCAGCAGCAGCAGCAGCAGCAGCAGCCCACGAGGAGGGUUAAAUGCGAUUGAACUAGUUAAAUCAUUUGAAUAAUCACUGAGCAAUCGGUUACGGAAUUGAAUUUGGGUUGAAUGGGAAUGUCUAAAAUGUUUGUGGCAAACAGAAGGUGACCCUGAAGAUGAGAGUGGGGAGUGCAUGAGUAAAGGAACUGCACUAUGGGUGUCAGCUGGAAUAGAUGUUGUACUUCUCUUGCCUCUACUUUAUGUGAGUUCCUGGCAUCACUUUCCCACCUCCUGCAAACACUAUCUAAAUAGAGCAAUCAAACAUAUCCAUUUGUCACCCAUUUGCUUGGACACUGUCUCUCACUCGUUGCGAUAAGAUCAAAGUGAAAUUCCAACAGAUGAUAGACAAGCUAUGGCCUAACCAUAAAAUGCCAUAAAUUACUCUAUUCGAAUCGAAUCGAAUCGAAUCGCAGAGAGCAGAGGAGUAUGGGGUAUGGGUAUGGGUAUGGCUAUCCG